rnacentral:tRNA from 1 species
GUUAUUGUAGCUUAACAUAAAGCAUGGCACUGAAGACGCCAAGAUGGAUAUUAAUCACCCCCAAAAACA